AUUGUGUGCAUUAGCAUGAUGUAAAUGCAAAUAAAUAUUUUGUUCAAGGCUAAAUGAAUGAGACAUGAUGGCAAGGAGAUGAUUCCUUUGUUGGGAGAAUCAGCCAAAGCAUUUUGUAAAAGCUUGACAGCCACGUGUGCACAUCUUUGCAGGACUAAUUAACGCGUUUAUGCUUACAGGGAGGCGGGAACUCACACAGUAACCAAGAGAUGGAGAGAUCCAAAGAAUGCUGACUGGUUACAAACAGGCUGAAGAGCCAUCAAGUUAAGAUCCUUUCCAGAGAACUAUCAAUGACUGAGCUGGAAAUAGAAGCCAUUUCCCUGAGUUCCUGUUCAUGUACACUGUCCUCUAGUCUAGCUCAUCCUGAGGUGAAUCAUGACCAACUCACCAAGCUUGCCCUUCUACAUUACAGGGUGAUUCACAGCCUUAGCUCUAUCCUUCUUUGCAAGAAAUUCAUGCGGAGUGAAGCCUCUCCAAAUCCAAACAGAACCAGUUGAAGAGAGCUGUCGUGAACAUCAAGUUGAAGCUCCCUUUCUUGUGAGUGUGGGUGAUAAGUACUUCAUGGAGAACAAUGGAUGCUACUCUGGCAGCAGAUUAUCCAAGCCCUGGAGAACAUCACAUGUAUUUUAAUUAAAGGGAUACUGUCAAAAAGAAAAUCAUGGGUCAAAUCCUUUGCUAGUGUAUCUUACAACAGCUUCAUUGACUGAGGAGCUGACCCUUGACAUUUUAGCUGGUUUCCUUAGUCAUGCAUUGGAUUAUUACAACUAAAAGAAUUGUAAGCAUUUGAACUUCUUCCCUCAUUCAUGCUGUUUAUUUACUGUUUCCCUUGCAAUCCAGCUGGAACAAUGGAAGUAGAUAGGCCUGGCCUUUCUUUAGUAUCAGAAGAGGUACUUACUGCUCCUUCCUGCAGAGCUGUUAUAAGCACUGUUUUUCUUACUGACAUUAGGAUAAACUGGGUCUCAACUAACCUCAGAGCAGUACAGGCCUGCUUUAGUCACUGAGACAAGCAGCCCAUGGUUUGGGACAAAACUUUCAUAAACUGGUUUGACCUAAAUCAGUUAAAUCUGUUACUACAUUCAGACAGGUUUAUCUUAAACC